rnacentral:lncRNA from 1 species
CUUCUGUGAAAUAUAAACUCUUGCUUUUAUAGGAGUGGGAAGAUUUACUUCAAAAGUUAUUUCCAAACACUCAUUUCAGCUCAUGCAAAGGAAUGCAUCGUGGCUGCAAGCCAAGGGGAAUUUUAUUCCAAAGACCCCUCCUGGAGGAAUCUUUAAGAGGAGACUAAGGUCUCUGCAGGUGGAUAAAGAACCUGCCUAGAAUAUUAGCAGCAGAAGUAUAAUUAGAAGCUACCUCUUCGAUUAAAACAAACAUUCACAAAUAGACACUUGGGAUUUUAGUCACCACUAUUUCAAAGUAGAGGUGAGUUUGUGCAUGUCUUGUUUAUGUAACAGGUUUGCUGGUCACUUCAGUCAUAGAACUGUGAUAGAUGACAAGUGUCUGAGGAUACAAAAUAAAUGUGACAGGAUCCUAAUCUUUUAGUAAAUAUAGCCCAGUUAGGACAAGAAGACAUACACAGACUAUUGAUAUCAAGAACUGGGAAUUUACAAGCUUUUAGGGCAGAGUGGGUGGGUGGCAGGCAAUAUAAUGCUGUAAAAAUUAGGAGAAAUGUGAAAUCACAGUAACCUGGAAGGUUCAGGAAAGGACUCACUGAGAAAGUAGGACUGAGGGUCUUGAAAAACAGAAAACAUGUGGAUGUCCCAGCUGCAGAAUAGUAAUGUUACAGCAGAAAUGUCUCAGAUCUAUUUAUAAGAUAGUGUUUUGGAUAACGUGGCUCAUGUGGAAGGUUUCGAUUCCAGAGUAAUGGGAAACAAGGUGGAACAGGACUGGAUUAUGGGGAUCUUUGAUACUAAGGAGCUGAGGACGCUAAGACCCUAUAGAAAUAAAAGGAAGAUGACUAGGAGCCUAAGUCCCACCCUUCCAACUUCCAGCUUUAAUGUAAAAAGAAGCUAACAGCAAAUGCCUGGAUGCAACUUGCAUAUUCUCAAAGAGAAGAUGGUCCAGAGAGUAAGUGGAAUGGUCCUGGCUGCCAAAUGCUAAUAGCUUGAAAAUCCUCCACGAGAGAAGAAAAUCAAUUAAGAUGUAAUUAAAUCAUCACUUCAUCAUUUCUGCAUAUGAAAUAUUACACUGAGAUCAAGAAUUUGGUCCCCAAAAUAGAUAAAAGUCAAAUAGAAGUAUGAAUGAAAGAAAAUAAAAUGAAUUCGAGAUAUUUUUGGAGCUGAUUCAUUUACAAAUGGACUAACACAUAAUAAACCUCAGUCGGGAAUCUUAGAAGUAACCAUCAAUGCUUCCCAUAAGAAUGGAAAUUAUCUGUAAAUCAAGAGCAGAAUCCUGACCAUGGACCAAAAAAAAAUUUUUUUUGAAAAGCUAAUUUUAGAAAUUUACUACUGGAUUUACAGUACACUUUUUAAAGACCAAAAUAAUAAGUGUUUGUCUUUAGUAAGGGAAAGUACCUUUUAGAGUUGCUAACUUUAUUUUGAUUUGAUUUUUUGUUUUUAUUAACCAUUAUUUCUCGGGCCCUUGAAAACAUUUUUCUUUCAUCUGGGGAGGUUCUGUUAGUCAGUUUACAAAACUGGCAGCAUUUCAUUUUUUCAAUGAAAUUUAACAGAAUUUUGUCUCAGCUUUUACAUGAUGUGUAUGAACUUGAAUAAAUUCAUCCCUUUCUUUUAGCCUGUUUACUUAAAAGUCAAAUUUUGGGGAAUUCCUGUAAUCUCUUUCUUAUAGUAUUGUUGUGUCAGAGACGUUUGAACCAGAGCAACUCCAUCUUGAGUAGUGGCUGGGUAAAAGGAGCCUGAGGCGUACUGGGCUGCAUUCCCAGAUGGUUAGGCAUUCUAAGUCACAGGAUGAGACAGAAAAUCAGCACAAGAUACAGGUCAUACAGACCUUGCUGACAAAACAGCUUGCAGUAAAAACGCCAGCUAAAACCCACCAAAACCAAGAUGGCGCUGAGAGUCACCUCCGGUCAUCCUCACUGCUACACUCCCACCAGUGCUAGGACAGUCUACAAAUGCCGUGACAACCUCAGGAAGUUACCCUAUAUGGUCUAAAAAG